rnacentral:lncRNA from 1 species
UUAGAUACAAACUCAGAAAUAUCUCGUUUCAUUCCCGGCCACCAGUACAUCUUUUUCAGAUUGUUAUACAUUUUAUUACUAGGAGGAUGAAUAGACAAGUUACCUUAUGAGCUUCAUUCAAAAUCUUCUGUACUAAUUCAGAAUCUUUCGGUACACAUGCUUUGCCUCUGAAUAAUAAAAAUCAUUAGUCCCAAUUUGAAAUUUGGAAUCAGAAGUCGAUUUACUCUGUACCC